rnacentral:rRNA from 1 species
UACGAAGGGGGCUAGCGUUGCUCGGAAUCACUGGGCGUAAAGGGUGCGUAGGGGGGUCUUUAAGUCAGAGGUGAAAUCCUGGAGCUCAACUCCAGAACUGCCUUUGAUACUGAGGAUCUUGAGUUCGGGAGAGGUGAGUGGAACUGCGAGUGUAGAGGUGAAAUUCGUAGAUAUUCGCAAGAACACCAGUGGCGAAGGCGGCUCACUGGCCCGAUACUGACGCUGAGGCACGAAAGCGUGGGGAGCAAACAGG